rnacentral:rRNA from 1 species
UAGGGAAUCUUCCACAAUGGACGCAAGUCUGAUGGAGCAACGCCGCGUGAGUGAAGAAGGUUUUCGGACCGUAAAGCUCUGUUGUUGGUGAAGAAGGAUAGAGGUAGUAACUGGCCUUUAUUUGACGGUAAUCAACCAGAAAGUCACGGCUAACUACGUGCCAGCAGCCGCGGUAAUACUAGGUGGCAAGCGUUGUCCGGAUUUAUUGGGCGUAAAGCGAGCGCAGGCGGAAGAAUAAGUCUGAUGUGAAAGCCCUCGGCUUAACCGAGGAAUUGCAUCGGAAACUGUUUUCUUGAGUGCAGAAGAGGAGAGUAGAACUCCAUGUGUAGCGGUGGAAUGCGUAGAUAUAUGGAAGAAUACCAGUGGCGAAGGCGGCUCUCUGGUCUGCAACUGACGCUGAGGCUCGAAAGCAUGGGUAGCGAACAGGAUUAGAUACCCUGGUAGUCCAUGCCGUAAACGAUGAGUGCUAAGUGUUGGGAGGCUUCCGCCUCUCAGUGCUGCAGCUAACGCAUUAAGCACUCCGCCUGGGGGAGUACGACCGCAAGGUUGAAAC